GACGAACGCUGGCGGCGUGCUUAACACAUGCAAGUCGAACGGGUCUGCCCUGUUUUUUGCGGGGUGGGUCAGUGGCGAACGGGUGAGUAACACGUGAGUAACCUGCCCCUCACUUCUGGAUAACCGCUUGAAGGGGUGGCUAAUACGGGGUGUUCUGGCUGUGCCGCAUGGUGUGGCUGGGAAAGAUUCACUUUUGUGGUGUUUUGGUGGGGGAUGGGCUCGCGGCCUAUCAGCUUGUUGGUGGGGUGAUGGCCUGCCAAGGCUUUGACGGGUAGCCGGCCUGGGAGGGUGGGCGGUCACACUGGGACGGAGAUACGGCCCAGACUCCUGCGGGAGGCAGCAGUGGGGGGUAUUGCACAAUGGGCGGAAGCCUGAUGCAGCGACGUCGCGUGAGGGAUGGAGGCCUUCGAGUUGUGAACCUCUUUCGCCGGUGAAGAAGGUCCUGCUCUUUGUGGUGGGGUUGACGGUAGCCGGGUUAUGAAGCGCCGGCUAACUACGUG
rnacentral:rRNA from 1 species